AAAUGAGUUCCAGUCGUGGUGCUAGUAGAAAAUCUCCUACUGGUUCUACUAGACUCAAACCAAAUCCAACUUCUUCAAUUCUCCUAGUCAAAGUGAUGGAGUAGGUAAGGAGGGGACUGUACCAGAAUCCUUAUUGAAACAAGCUCGUAAAACCGGUUCACUGAACCUGUCAAACAGGGGCAUUAGUGUUAUUCCUCCUAAAUUGUGGAGACUCAAUAUUGAUCCUCCUGAUGGUAGUACUGCUUCAUUUGAUGUUGAUGAGAGAUGGUGGGACCAGGUCGAACUGACUAGACUGGAUCUAUCAUCUAACGAAAUCAAAGAAA
rnacentral:lncRNA from 1 species